GAUGAAGAACGUAGUGAAAUGCGAUGAGUAAUGUGAAUUGCAGAAUUCGGUGAAUCAUCGAAUCUUUGAACGCACAUUGCGCCCGCCAGCAUUCUGGCGGGCAUGCCUGUUCGAGCGUCAUUUCAACCCUCGAGCCCCCCCGGGGGCCUCGGUGUUGGGGGACGGCACACCAGCCGCCCCCGAAAUGCAGUGGCGACCCCGCCGCAGCCUCCCCUGCGUAGUAGCACACACCUCGCACCGGAGCGCGGAGGCGGUCACGCCGUAAAACGCCCAACUUUCUUAGAGUUGACCUCGGAUCAGGUAGGAAUACCCGCUGAACUUAAGCAUAUCAAUAAGCGGAGGA
rnacentral:misc_RNA from 1 species